AGGUUUGGGUGGCUGGUUUGUGGGCUAGCAAAUAUUGUAGACUUUGUAGUGCAGGCCCAACUAAAAGACACUCUCAGCCCAACCCUAGACAACCGCUUGAGUGGGUAUGACGGAAGUGAGAGGAGACACACGCCGGAGAUGGAUCUGCCGCCGCCAAAGGGAAGACGGUGCAUUUCAGAGCGUGGUGAGGCGGGACCUCCGGAGUAAACGGGUUCUUCAGCAAGACACAGUGGAAGAGCGGUACGUCGGGUCUCCUCGGAAUCCCAGAGAAGAGGACCGUUAAA
rnacentral:lncRNA from 1 species